rnacentral:rRNA from 1 species
UGGGGAAUAUUGCACAAUGGGGGAAACCCUGAUGCAGCGACGCCGCGUGAGCGAAGAAGGUUUUCGAAUCGUAAAGCUCUGUCCUAUGAGAAGAUAAUGACGGUAUCAUAGGAGGAAGCCCCGGCUAACUUCGUGCCAGCAGCCGCGGUAAUACGAAGGGGGCUAGCGUUGUUCGGAUUUACUGGGCGUAAAGCGCACGUAGGCGGACUAUUAAGUCAGGGGUGAAAUCCCGGGGCUCAACCCCGGAACUGCCUUUGAUACUGGUAGUCUUGAGUUCGAGAGAGGUGAGUGGAAUUCCGAGUGUAGAGGUGAAAUUCGUAGAUAUUCGGAGGAACACCAGUGGCGAAGGCGGCUCACUGGCUCGAUACUGACGCUGAGGUGCGAAAGCGUGGGGAGCAAACAGG